rnacentral:rRNA from 1 species
AUUGAACGCUGGCGGCAGGCUUAACACAUGCAAGUCGAGCGGGGUGAUGGUGCUUGCACUAUCACUUAGCGGCGGACGGGUGAGUAAUGCUUAGGAAUCUGCCUAUUAGUGGGGGACAACAUCUCGAAAGGGAUGAUAAUACCGCAUACGUCCUACGGGAGACAGCAGGGGAUGACUGGUGACCUUGCGGUAAUAGAUGAGCCUAAGUCGGAUUAGCUAGUUGGUGGGGUAAAGGCCUACCAAGGCGACGAUCUGUAGCGGGUCUGAGAGGAUGAUCCGCCACACUGGGACUGAGACACGGCCCAGACUCCUACGGGAGGCAGCAGUGGGGAAUAUUGGACAAUGGGGGGAACCCUGAUCCAGCCAUGCCGCGUGUGUGAAGAAGGCCUUAUGGUUGUAAAGCACUUUAAGCGAGGAGGAGGCUCUUUUGGUUAAUACCCAAGAUGAGUGGACGUUACUCGCAGAAUAAGCACCGGCUAACUCUGUGCCAGCCGCCGCAGUAA